AGAGUUUGAUCAUGGCUCAGAAUAAAUGCUCUUGGUAUGCUUAACACAUGCAAGUUGAAUGUUUAAAUUUUUUAGACAUAGCGAACGGGUGAGUAACACGUGAAUUAUCUACCUUUUAAUUCAGGAUAAUUAUUUUUAAUAAAAAUACUGAAUAAUUUCAAUAAAGUUUUAAUAACGUUAAAAGAUGAGUUUGCGUAAGAUUAGGUAGUUGGUAGUUUAAAAGACUACCAAGCCGACUAUCUUUAGCUGGUUUGAAAGAAUGAUCAGCCACAUUGGGACUGAGACACGGCCCAAACUUUUUUAAAGGCAGCAGUGGGGAAUUUUGGACAAUGAGCGAAAGCUUGAUCCAGCAAUACCAAGUGAGUGAAGAAGGCUAAUUAGGUUGUAAAGCUCUUUCAUUAAGGAGGAAAAUGACAGUACUUAAAAAAGAAGUUCCGGCUAAUACCCGUGCCAGCAGCCGCGGUAAUAC
rnacentral:rRNA from 1 species